rnacentral:rRNA from 1 species
GUGUCAGCAGCCGCGGUAAGACAGAGGGUGCAAACGUUGUUCGGAAUUACUGGGCGUAAAGCGCGUGUAGGCUGCUCGGAAAGUCGGGUGUGAAAGCCCUGGGCUCAACCUAGGAAGUGCACUCGAAACUUCCGAGCUGGAGUGCUGGAGAGGAAGGCGGAAUUCUCGGUGUAGAGGUGAAAUUCGUAGAUAUCGAGAGGAACACCGGUGGCGAAGGCGGCCUUCUGGACAGCCACUGACGCUGAGACGCGAAAGCGUGGGGAGCAAACAGGAUUAGAAACCCUAGUAGUCC